GAUGGCCUUCAAACGCUUCGUUAGGAAAUUUACUUCGCAAGUACACCAAGGCACCUUCUGUAUCUGACGGCGCAUCUUUUCCAAAAUUAGUAUCUGUUUUUGGGUCACUAUCUGUCAACUGUAUGUCAGCCGAUAAGUGAGGUUUCUUCCUUUGAAUGUAAAAGUCUGGCAACGUCACACGUCUCUUCAUAUUAUGGAGAAUACCGUAACGGUAGGAAGAACCGUGGCGCCCCCAGAUCUCUAGCAUACGAAAUUUACGAAUUCAACCAUAUUUAUGUUUAUGCUAUCUCUCAACUUCCGAAGAUUUUGAUACGCCGGCUGGUUACUGCCUUUCGAGAGUGCUACUGCGAUGAACUAGACAACUGCCUGGCACUUGUUGAUAUAUACAUCUUUGGCUUCACAUUUCAUAUUGAAAUGUAAACACAACGAGUAAACACUAGUGAAAAUGCACGUGUUGAGCCGAAGUCGUACAGUACUUUGCAGUGGAGCGAAAAGCGACAGUGUGGUUCCAGUAUUUUGUUAGGUAGCGGGCUGUGGCGAAUAGUAUAAAAUAUUUCUGCUUCAUAUGUCUCUCAUUUCCAUCCUUGAUUUGUCUUUGUGACAAGUCAUUUAAGUGUGGAAUUUUGAAAAACAAAAAAUGUUUGUACUUGCCGAAAUGAAGCAUGUCAUUCGAAUUCCACCACAUGAUUUUAAGAAGAGGCUUAAUGAUGCUAUUUCAGAAGAGCUGAACAAGAAGUUGGCGAACAAAGUUGUUUUAAAUGUCGGUUUGUGCAUUGCACUGUUUGACAUAACACGUUUAGAAGAUUCUUACAUAUUCCCUGGUGAUGGCGCAGCACACACCAAAGUAAACUUCCGUUAUGUUGUAUUCAGGCCAUUCAUGGAAGAAAUACUCAUCGGUAAAAUUAAAAGCUGUAGCCCAGAAGGCGUUCAAGUUACACUUGGGUUUUUUGAUGAUAUAAUUAUUCCACCAGCAUCGUUACAGCAUCCGUCAAGGUUUGACGAAACAGAACAAGCCUGGGUUUGGAUAUAUGACACUGAUGGUGACACACAUGAUUUGUUUAUGGAUCCAGGAGAGACAAUAAGAUUUCGUGUUACUGCUGAGAGCUUUGUGGAAACAUCACCUGUUGGUCCUGAGAAUCCAGAUGUAAAAGAUGCAGUUGAUGCUACAGAAGAGCCGAAAGUUCCAUACAAACUGACGGGUAGCAUCAAUGAACCAGGUCUUGGUCUUUUGUCUUGGUGGGCAAAUUCGUAAUGUGCAGACACUUUGGAAGAAGAUUGAUGUAUUUAACAGCCAGGAACUUGUACAACAGGAUGUCAACACAGGAGCUGUAAUGGACAUUUAUAGGACAUCACAGUUUUGGAUCCCUUCAGACCAAGUGGCAACAGAGAUGUCUGGAUGAUGUAGGAGAAAUUUGUAGUUAACUACAUGCUGUAGAUGAAUACUGUACUGAUAUCCAUAACCCAGAAACAAGGAAUGAAGUAGGCUGUAUGAAAACACAUCCAAUUUCCACAGUUCUUAGAAAGAAAAAACUGCAAAAAUAUACCAUAAUGGUA